AUUGAACGCUGGCGGCAGGCCUAACACAUGCAAGUCGAACGGUAACAGGAAGAAGCUUGCUUCUUUGCUGACGAGUGGCGGACGGGUGAGUAAUGUCUGGGAAACUGCCUGAUGGAGGGGGAUAACUACUGGAAACGGUAGCUAAUACCGCAUAAUGUCGCAAGACCAAAGAGGGGGACCUUCGGGCCUCUUGCCAUCGGAUGUGCCCAGAUGGGAUUAGCUAGUAGGUGGGGUAACGGCUCACCUAGGCGACGAUCCCUAGCUGGUCUGAGAGGAUGACCGGCCACCCUGGAACUGAGACACGGUCCAGACUCCUACGGGAGGCAGCAGUGGGGAAUAUUGCACAAUGGGCGCAAGCCUGAUGCAGCUAUGCCGCGUGUAUGAAGAAGGCCUUCGGGUUGUAAAGUACUUUCAGCGGGGAGGAAGGGAGUAAAGUUAAUACCUUUGCUCAUUGACGUUACCCGCAGAAGAAGCACCGGCUAACUCCGUG
rnacentral:rRNA from 1 species